CCUACGGGAGGCAGCAGUGAGGAAUAUUGGUCAAUGGGCGGAAUUCUGAACCAGCCAUGCCGCGUGCAGGAUGACGGCUCUAUGAGUUGUAAACUGCUUUUGUACCGGGGUAAUAUGCCUUACGUGUAGGGAUUUGAAUGUACGGUACGAAUAAGGAUCGGCUAACUCCGUGCCAGCAGCCGCGGUAAUACGGAGGAUUCGAGCGUUAUCCGGAUUUAUUUGGUUUAAAGGGUGCGUAGGCUGUCGUAUAAGUUAGAGGUCAAAUGUCGGGGCUUAACCCCGUGGCUGCCUCUGAUACUGUACGACUAGAGAGCGGAUGCAGCAGGCGGAAUGAGUAGUGUAGCGGUGAAAUGCUUAGAUAUUACACAGAACACCGAUUGCGCAGGCAGCUUGCUAAUCCGCAUCUGACGCUGAUGCACGAAAGCGUGGGGAGCGAACAGGAUUAGAUACCCUAGUAGUC
rnacentral:rRNA from 1 species